UGCCCUGUAACCAGGGUGCAAGUCACCUCCCCCUGGCUUUCGAGUGAAUUGAGCUCUUCGGUAACGUGAGCAAUGUGACCGCCCUGUAACUAGGGUCCAGGUCUUUGCCCACUUGCUCGUUUGGCAUUACGCCGUGCUCUGGCCCACUAGUCAGCAUGACAACCCUGUAAUCAGGGUGCAUGUCACAAGUAUCCAUAGAAUCGGACAUAUUGUGCCCUUUGAUACUUUGAGGAGCUUGACCUUCCUGUAAUUCAGGUUACGGUCUCUGCUAUUUGGAUAAUCCCAGUGACCACCCUCUAAUCAGGGUACAGGUUGCAUCUCUCUUUUGAAAUCUGGGGGAUUAGAACUAUGGGCAGCUUGACCUCCCUGUAACUAGGGUUUGGUCUCCGAGGCCCUUUGAGUCUCUUGGCAUUGUGCUUUCUUCACAGUGUGAGGUGAGUGACCAACCUGUAAUCAGGGAAUCUGGUCUUUGCCUUGAGUCUCUUGGCAGUCGGCCGAGUACAGCCAGCUGGUCUGCAUGAGCACCCUGUAAACAGGGUACAGGUCUCAUCAGACACUAUUUAUGGUGCCCCCAUGAAACUGUGUCCAGAGUCCUGGCCCUUCGCACUGCACUUCCAACUUGCCGGGAAUUCUGCAGCCAAGUCUCCUGCUUUCUUCCUCACGUACUGUGCUCUUGGAGACCCAACAUCCUGCUCACGUUGCAGAAUUUCAAAUGGCAUUGCAAGUCUGCUAUAACUGUCUUGCACACUCUUUACAUCCUCUUAAGAGAAUUGGACAAAACAGAAGCAGCCAACUUAAAAACAAGAAAAGAGAUGCUAACCACCUGUGAAGAAGAAGAAAGGAAACAAAUUCUGAGAGUAAAGUACAGUUGUGUGAUCUAUUUCAAAGAUUUGUCACUAAGCACCAAGGAAUAAUUGUGAAUCUGUAAUGCAGAGACCUUAAUCACGCAAGCACUAUAGGAUCAUAGCUCACUAUUAUUAAAAAUAAAUAAUAAUUUCCUAUUGGAAAUACAAAGAUGUAACUGAAGGGAAGGCAUGUGUUUGUAUUCUCCACUCAUCCUCAAUUCCUCUCUUCACCCCCCCCCAAAUUCAAAAAUAAUUAUGGUGGAAAGAUUAACAUUUACUCCAGGUAACACCCACCUUAAUAUUUUAAAGCUCUGUAUCUCUCACACAUUGCUAAAAAACAAGCAAACAAAAUUAAAUGUUCUGGAAACUGGCAGUUACUCCUCCAACUUCACAACUUUCAAACAUCUACUCUACUUCAACGGUCACACCAACCAAACUGUACCACACAUUCAAUUUUAACUUUGCACCUAUUGUGUCAGAACAGUUAGAGUAUUUUUUGGUAGUUGUGUAUAUUGAUGUACGUGGUAAUAGUGGUGUUUUAAUAGGUUUUUAUGCUUAGUGAAUUAAGAGGAUGUUGGAGGAUGAUGAUGUGGAUGUUUUAUGUAGGUAUUUUUCUGUUGUUAGUAUUUGUGUAGAGGUGAAGUAUUUUGUGGUGAUGACUGUUUUUCAGGUAUUGGUUUAGUGUGAAUUGUUGAAAAAUUUAGAUGAUUUUUGCAUAUGUACAUUAUUAGAUGGACUUAGAGGGCAACGUUGAGGUUGCCUGUUUGGUGCAAUUUUAUUGGUGUGAAAGUUAAUAAAUAAAUAAAAAUAAAGUUAAUUUAGAGUACGUGUUUGAAAGCCCUGAUGUUUGAAUUUUAAGCUCAACAGGGAUCCAGGACCCACCUCAGUUCUUACUGUCAUUCCUAAUUCCAAAAUCUGGGAUGAAGAUGACCCGGCAGAAUAAAGAUAUCUCCAGAGACUUUCAGGAGUUUAGCAUUUCUGCAGCUUUACGGGAUUCCUUAAAUCUUAUUGAGUUUUACGAAGUGUAAUAAUUGUGGGAAACUUCUGCUUCUGCCAGUUAAGUGUUGAACAAUGACCUAUAUUAAGAGAUUUAUACUGACAGUUAAUUCUGUUCUGUACUAAGAUGAUUUUGCUAAUAUCUCCACUUUAUGAUGUGUGAAAUGAGUUAACUAGGUUUGAUUAUACCUACUUGACAAAAGUUGGAAUACUUCAUGUUUAAUUCAUAGAUUUAACUUUGACUGUCAUACCACAUUACUUUGCUUUCUGUAA